AUUGAACGCCGGCGGCAGGCUUAACACAUGCAAGUCGAGCGGAGUGAUGGUGCUUGCACUAUCACUUAGCGGCGGACGGGUGAGUAAUGCUUAGGAAUCUGCCUAUUAGUGGGGGACAACAUCUCGAAAGGGAUGCUAAUACCGCAUACGUCCUACGGGAGAAAGCAGGGGAUCACUUGUGACCUUGCGCUAAUAGAUGAGCCUAAGUCGGAUUAGCUAGGUGGUGGGGUAAAGGCCUACCAAGGCGACGAUCUGUAGCGGGUCUGAGAGGAUGAUCCGCCACACUGGGACUGAGACACGGCCCAGAAUCCUACGGGAGGCAGCAGUGGGGAAUAUUGGACAAUGGGCGGAAGCCUGAUCCAGCCAUGCCGCGUGUGUGAAGAAGGCCUUUUGGUUGUAAAGCACUUUAAGCGAGGAGGAGGCUACUUAGAUUAAUACUCUGGGAUAGUGGACGUUACUCGCAGAAUAAGCACCGGCUAACUCUGUGCCAGCCGCCGCAGUAAUAC
rnacentral:rRNA from 1 species